UACGGGGGGGGCAAGCGUUGUUCGGAAUUACUGGGCGUAAAGGGCUCGUAGGCGGCCAACUAAGUCAGACGUGAAAUCCCUCGGCUUAACCGGGGAACUGCGUCUGAUACUGGAUGGCUUGAGUUUGGGAGAGGGAUGCGGAAUUCCAGGUGUAGCGGUGAAAUGCGUAGAUAUCUGGAGGAACACCGGUGGCGAAGGCGGCAUCCUGGACCAACACUGACGCUGAGGUGCGAAAGCGUGGGGAGCAAACAGG
rnacentral:rRNA from 1 species